rnacentral:lncRNA from 1 species
UAUUUAUCAUAAUUGCAUGAGCAAGAUCUUUAUAAUUAGUCUUUCUAUGUAAUAUAUAUAUACUUAGACAAAUAUAUAUAUAUAUUUGUUUACAUUUGAGUUUAAUGAGUUUAAGUCUAGACCCUAUAUUUUAUGGGGUUCAGAAGCGGAAAUCUGCCAUCUUAAAUUUUGUUUUUCCACAGUAUUCCCUACGGUGCCCUUCACACUGAUGUAUGAACUCAAGACAGGCCCACUUCUCUGCAGAAGAAUGUCCUAAUAUCAAAAAUGUGUCUCUGAUGAAUGUUGGACCAAAGGGAGUAAACAGAACCCAAGACAUCUAACAAAAUGUUCCCCAGAAUUAAGAUGAACACCAAAGAGAAUAGAUAAUUUUAUGGAAACUAUGUUGGUGGGAUCCACUUCCAGCUGUGUGGCUAGCACUCUCCUCUGCUCCAUGAAAAUGUGCAUGAUGAGAUAAUGCAUACACCCCUUCAAGGAUCUGUUACUACAUAGUUUCCUGUACACCAGACCAUAAACUGGAUUAAUUGACAACAUAACUUUUCAAGUGUCUGCACACCUCAUUCCUCUUGGUCGUGAGACAAGAACUCAGAACUUGCUGAAAUGCAGAAGUGAAAGAGCAGUAUCACUCCAUCCUGCUGAACUACGGGAGUGAAGAAGCCACAGUAGGACUUUACUAGAAGUGAGGAUUGGAGAACAGAAUCUUUCCAAAAGUUUUGAAGAAGCUUCCAUGUUGUGAGAGAGCAUAUGGAGGGGGCCACGUGGCAAGGAACUGUAGUGGCCACUGAGUACUGAGAGUGCUGAGUGCUGAACAUAGAACCUCAGGGCAACAGUUGCAAAGACAUGAAUUCCACCAACAACAUGAAGGCCUUGGAAAUGGAUUAUUCUCUAGUCCAGGCUCUGAUCACCACAGCCCCAGCCAACACCUGAAUUUGAGCCUUGUGAGACCCUGGAGUAGAGAACUUAGCUAGGAUAUGCCUGACUUCUGCCCUACAGAAACAAAGACAUAAUAAAUGUGUGCUAUUUUAAGCUUCAAGUUUGUGAUGAUUUACUACACAGUAUAGAAAACUAAUACAAUAUUACUUUUCUUUCUGCAACAUAUGUUUCCAUUAGUCUAACUUCCAUCUUGAUUCAACAGAUAUUUUUUGAAUUCUUAUGCCAAGUGCUGUUAAGAAUUUAUCUCACAAUCACAUAGGUCAGUAAAUAGCAGCGACCAGAUGGGAGUUCAGGCCCUUUUAGUCAUUGCUCAGUGAUCAUUCCCUUACAAUAAACAUCUGUGGAUGCACUAAUCCAAAUAUCAAGUGUGUGAUUGCCACAAAUAUUUGAGUUAUAAGAUGUUAGAAAUGUUUAA